rnacentral:sRNA from 1 species
ACCUUAGAGCAUCUCCAAUGGCUUGAUAUUAGAGUUCUCUCAGUGGGUUCUCAGAAUAAAAUUGUGAAAAAUUAAAUCAGAAAUCGUUUUUACAGAGAGAGCUGUCUCUCUUGAGAGAAACUUUGAAAGAGAAGAGAGACGUGUACGUGUCACGUUUUGGAUGUUUUGUUUGACAAAACUGAAAAAAAAAAAACGCCUGAAGGAAAAUACUUUGUCAAUUUCUAUUUUUCGCGAAACUCUCUCGAAACCAAACGACAAUGAAAACGCUGGUGAUGGCGACGGAGCCGGUCGUUUGCUCCGACGAUUGCGGGUUGAAUUUAAGCAGUCGAUAUGUUGUAUGAGCAGUGGUUGCGCAAGAGCAAUGGUUGGGCCGGAUUCAUCCUUCUCGAAGGCGGUGGUCACGUCGAUUUGAGAUUACGGCAGAAGGAAGACGGGUUACACUUUAUAAUGGUUACCUGAUUAUAGUGGCUUUAAAAUUUGAUUUGAGCUUCAACAAGCUACAUGGACCAAGGUUUGACAGAUGGCAAUUAGCCAUGACAAUCGUGUAAGGACUACCUCUGUGGAUUGCAAGCUAGGAUCCGCAAACUUGAAGAGAGGGCUCAAGGGAGAACUAAAGAAGCAGCAAAAUGUUGUUGGAAACGUGUGAACUAAUAAUUUAUUUUUUUCAUGAAAACCCAAUAAAGAGAGACUACUAUUGGACACUGCAAAAUAAAAAAAAUUUAACAGAAUCUCUCAUCUCAUCAAUUUGAAAAAUUUAUUCUUAAAAAAAUGGUGAGAGCCCA